ensembl:snoRNA LOC120093493 small nucleolar RNA U3
AAGACUAUACUUUCAGGGAUCAUUUCUAUAGUUCGUCACUAGGGAAAAUGUCAUCCUGAGUGAGGCUACUCAGACCCCAAGGG